rnacentral:rRNA from 1 species
GCAGGCUUAACACAUGCAAGUCGAACGAUAUAGUGGCAGACGGGUGAGUAACGCGUGGAAACGUGCCUUUCACUACGGAAUAGCUCUUGGAAACGAGUGGUAAUACCGUAUACGCCCUUCGGGGGAAAGAUUUAUCGGUAAAGAUCGGUCCGCGUUAGAUUACCUAGUUGGUGAGGUAAAAACUCACCAAGGCGACGAUCUAUAGCUGGUCUGAGAGGAUGAUCAGCCACCCUGGGACUGAGACACGGCCCAGACUCCUACGGGUGGCAGCAGUGGGGAAUAUUGCACAAUGGGCGCAAGCCUGAUGCAGCCAUGCCGCGUGAAUGAUGAAGGCCUUAGGGUUGUAAAAUUCUUUCGCCAAGGAUGAUAAUGACAGUACUUGGUAAAGAAGCCCCGGCUAA